rnacentral:rRNA from 1 species
UACGAAGGGUGCAAACGUUGCUCGGAAUUAUUGGGCGUAAAGCGCACGUAGGCGGCUUUGCAAGUCCCAUGUGAAAUCCCACGGCUCAACCGUGGAAGUGCAUGGGAAACUGCAGAGCUUGAGUACUUAAGAGGAUCGCGGAAUUCCCGGUGUAGAGGUGAAAUUCGUAGAUAUCGGGAGGAACACCAGUGGCGAAGGCGGCGAUCUGGGAAGAUACUGACGCUGGGGUGCGAAAGCGUGGGGAGCAAACAGG